UCAUCAAACCAUGUACUCCACAAGAGUGGACCUUAUAAGUACUUGACCCAAACACAAAGUUGUCGGAUUACGGAUCUUCAGAUUCUUUUACGUAAUUCUGUGAGAUCAAGUGGCCACAGCUUAUCUCUUUAUCUAAUCCUGAUUGGUUAGUAAUUUUAUUAUGUUUUUGGUGUGUAUCUGUAUGUAUUGUUGUUCAGUACUAUUAGGCCGGUUCUUGAAUCUUGAUUGAUGUGGGUUUUUCAUAUUUUGGUUAAAGAUUGAAACUUUAAGAUUUUAGGGGCUGUGCUGAGAAAACCCACUUGAAAUUGAAGUGGGGUUUGUUUAAUUGUGAUGGAUAGUAAUAAAGAUGAGGCUUUUAGAUGUAUUGGCAUUGCUAAGGAGGCCAUUGCUUCCGGGAAUAAGAACCGGGCUCUUAAGUUUAUUGGGAUUGCUAGAAGGUUGAAUCAGAAUUUGUCUGUGGAUGAUCUUUUGUCUGCGUGUGAGAAUCUUGAUUCGUCAGUGCCUGGGUCAACGAAUGGGGAGAAUCAUGUAGGGAAGGCGAAGGUUGAGGAGGUGAGGGCGAAGGUUGAGGAGUGUAAUUACACGCAAGAGAAUGUGCAGCUGAUUAGGCAGAUUAAGAGGAGUAAGGACUAUUAUUCGAUUCUUGGUGUAGAGAAGAGUUGUUCUGUGGAUGAGAUUAGGAAGGCAUAUAGGAAGUUGUCUUUAAAAGUUCAUCCGGAUAAGAAUAAGGCGCCAGAUUCAGAGGAGGCUUUUAAGAUAGUUUGCAAGGCGUUUCAGUGUUUGAGCAAUGAUGAGUCGAGGAGACAGUAUGAUCAAGUUGGGUUGGUUGAGGGAUUUGAGUCGAAUCUUCAUUAUAAUGCCAGGCGAAGAAGGAGAAGAAGUGAUAUGUUUGAAGAACGUUUUGAUCCUGAUGAUAUUUUCAGGUCCUUUUUUGGUCAGCAUGAUGCGUUUCACACCUCUAAUGUUUACAGAACUAGGCGAACAACCCCACAGCCUAGACAAGAUCAGGGUGAAACUGGACCGAGUCUGAUGAUUCUUCUGCAGCUAUUGCCAUUCCUGCUAAUUAUUGUACUUGCUUAUCUUCCAUUUUCCGAGCCUAAUUAUUCUUUGCAGAGAAACUAUUCUUAUCAGUUUCAGAAGUCGACUGAAAGGUAUGGAGUCGAAUACUUUGUUAAUUCAGCUGAGUUUGAUGACAAAUUUCCAGUAGGAAGUCUUGAGCGUACCAACAUAGAGAGCAAUGUUAUCAAGGACUACAAAAAUAUGCUUGGGCGUUACUGUCAUAUAGAACUCCAGCGAAGACAAUGGAGCCGAAAUCUGCCAACUCCUCACUGUGACAAGCUACAAACUUUUGCAGCUUAAAGAAUGUCUCCUUUCUAAGCUGGAUAUCAAUGUUGAUUAACUAAGAGCAUGAUAUGCAUGUUUGUUGGCCUGUAUAAUGUUGCAGCUACAAUCACCGUACUUUCUGUUGGAGUUAUGCCCCUAUCCAACUCUUUGCCUCAGAGUACUUUAAGCUCCAUGCAUUGUUAAAUCAAGAACAGGUAGUAAGAACAUUGUACAACUUUUGAAACCGUCCCAGAUAGCGUUUUUGUAGUCGUUCCUCAUGCAGUAUAUCUUUGCAGCUCUGAGGCAGUACAUUGCUACUUUUGCAAGCUGCUUGAGUGAUUAAAACUCUGAAAUAUUCAUGCAUUCAAGAUAGAGAUCCUAUUACCCUAUCAUCAUAUACUUUACUAUGAUUGAUGGCUCUUCCCAUCAAAUGGCUACAUGUCACUUUCAGGUUUUUGUUGGUAAUGGUAAUUAUUUGAAUCUUA